rnacentral:rRNA from 1 species
UACGUAGGGGGCAAGCGUUGUCCGGAUUUAUUGGGCGUAAAGCGCUCGCAGGUGGUUCGUUGCGUCGUGCGUGAAAGACCCCGGCUCAACUGGGGAGGGUCGUGCGAUACGGGCGAACUGGAGGCCAGUAGGGGGAUGCGGAAUUCCGGGUGUAGUGGUGGAAUGCGUAGAGAUCCGGAGGAACACCAGCGGCGAAGGCGGCAUCCUGGACUGGUCCUGACACUCAGGAGCGAAAGCGUGGGGAGCGAUCUGG